CAGAGUAAACAUAUUGCACAUCAGCAAAAUCUGCGCCGUAAAUACCUGCUAUGAUCUGUUCCUUGUCAAAAACAGCACACGUUGUGUAAAUUAACUGAGAUUUUACAAGUAACGAACGUUAUCUCUUAUUUCAUGAAAAUUUAUUUUUAAGUAUCUAAUUAAUGCGUCGAAAGUAGUAUUAUGAAAAUCGAAAACUGAAAAUUCAAAACAUGGAAAUGUAUAAUUUGUAUUGGCCUUUAAAUCUUCCGUGGGCUGGUUUGAUUUCAAAGGAUUCACGCAGAAAAAUAUGUAGAGGAGAACCUUCGAACUAUAAACGAAUAGAUUGUCAGGAUGAAUACCUCUGAAUCAGCGCUGAGGAUAAUAAGAUGAGCAGACUGAAUUCUUACUACAUGAAAUAUGUGACACAAUAUUCUUGAAUCAGCUUCUGUGUGGUUUAAUUGUAAUUCAAGUACCUUUCAAAAUAAAGACCUUGUAGCAUGAAACAUUUUGUUGGAUCUUCAAUCUUGUGCAUAUCGAACUAGUUACAAUCUGCUUUGAGUAUUUAACACAGCUGCGGUUCCUGACAUCCAAAGCUCCUUCUCAGCUUAACAUAGUCGCAAUUCCUGAUCUCCACAACUCCUUCUCAGCUGAACCAUAGCCGGGGGGUUAAUGAAGGGUUAUCUGUGUAUAGAUGUAGAAUUUGUCUAUGAUUGUUGUUUUUUUAUAGGGGUGUCCAACUUUUAAAAUAAUUUAGAGCCUGAGAUAAAAAAAAUUGGUCUUUUUAUUUUUAAGUUCAGUUACAGAUAAUUUGAUAAUACUGAGUGCUUCCUUCUUAUAAUGGCUCAUCAAUCCAAAAAUUCCUAGUAAUUUUGAACUAACGCUGUACUGAUUAUGGUUUAAAGACCGUCAUUGAUUGUAGUUACUUACUUCAUGAGUGGCGAGUUUCUUCAGAGGUCCUUCCAUCAGUCCUCAUCCAGCAUCGGAGACUACAAACGGCGUGGACCUUGUGAACAUAUUAAAUUCCUCUAAAUGUAGUAUUGUACUACUUUGUAGUACUAAGACCUUUGGUAUAUUUAGUUAAUAAUGCUAAAGGGCUUAAUUUAAAAUGUAUAU